GUCCCUGUAGCGCAAUGGAUAGCGCGUUGGAUUUCUAAUCCAUAGGGUGAAUCCUACUUGGGAUG